CACGUAGGGCGCAAGCGUUGUCCGGAAUUAUUGGGCGUAAAGAGCUCGUAGGCGGUCUGUCGCGUCCGCUGUGAAAACUCAGGGCUUAACCCUGAGCCUGCUUCCGAUACGGGCAGACUAGAGGUAUGCAGGGGAGAACGGAAUUCCUGGUGUAGCGGUGGAAUGCGCAGAUAUCAGGAGGAACACCGGUGGCGAAGGCGGUUCUCUGGGCAUUACCUGACGCUGAGGAGCGAAAGUGUGGGGAGCGAACAGG
rnacentral:rRNA from 1 species